rnacentral:rRNA from 1 species
AUUGAACGCUGGCGGCAGGCCUAACACAUGCAAGUCGGACGGUAGCACAGAGAGCUUGCUCUUGGGUGACGAGUGGCGGACGGGUGAGUAAUGUCUGGGGAUCUGCCCGAUAGAGGGGGAUAACCACUGGAAACGGUGGCUAGUACCGCAUAACGUCGCAAGACCAAAGAGGGGGACCUUCGGGCCUCUCACUAUCGGAUGAACCCAGAUGGGAUUAGCUAGUAGGCGGGGUAAUGGCCCACCUAGGCGACGAUCCCUAGCUGGUCUGAGAGGAUGACCAGCCACACUGGAACUGAGACACGGUCCAGACUCCUACGGGAGGCAGCAGUGGGGAAUAUUGCAAAAUGGGCGCAAGCCUGAUGCAGCCAUGCCGCGUGUAUGAAGAAGGCCUUCGGGUUGUAAAGUACUUUCAGCGGGGAGGAAGGCGGUGCGGUUAAUAACCGUACCGAUCGACGUUACCCGCAGAAGAAGCACCGGCUAACUCCGUGCCAGCCGCCGCCGUAA